AUGGCGAGUGCCACGCAGAAACGGCUGUUUCUGACUCUUUCUGUCACCCGCACACGGGAGGGCCCAGCUCCCCUCCUCCCCUGGGUCUCCCUGGAGGAACCCGCCUGCAACCCUGUUCCUUCCCCUCAGCACCCCCUAGCAGCCGGGGGACCCGCAUGCGGCCCGCAUCUCUCCACGCCUGGCAACCUCCCAGUCAUCCCGGCGGCUCCGCACCCCGCCCGGGGAUCCCGCGGGCUUGGGGUCCCAACCUCACAGUCGUUCCGUAGGCCUGCCCAGGAGGAAGCUGGGGUCUCCGGGGGCAAUUCCGGUCGCUCCCGCCCCCCGCCGGGGCGGAGAUCCCGCCGCCCUCGCCCGACGCCCGCAGUGAGCACUCACCGAUCUUUGCUCUGCCCUCCCGGCCUGACUCCGGCUCGGGCGCGCGGCUGGCGGCUCUGGCGUGGCCCGGUGGCCGGCCGGGGCGCCGAGCGCGGCCCCCUCCCUCCUUCCGCCCGUCUCGCGGGGUCCCCCGGGCCCCGCCCCCGCCGGCUGACCCGCCCCCCCGCCGCCCAGCCGCAGCCGCUGCCAGGGCAACGGCGCGGCUGUCACGUGACCGGCCGCGGGGGCGCCGUGGGCCACGUGAUGCUGCGGGCCAGGAGUUGCAGAGCCCACUCGGGUGCCCAGGUUGUUGCAUGGGGCUUACGCAGAAGCCGAGGUGGUUCAGGUCAAGGUGCGUAGUACCAGCUGCUCGGCGGGGAGGUCUGGGUUCCAGUCUGUGCUGACACUCCCGUGGCUGGUGGUCUGGCAAGUCACCGCCUUUUCUGAGGCCUCGGCCACCCCACAUUUGAAAAAGGCAAUUCUGGGAGGCAUGUCCCAGAGGUCACUGCCACACUGGUGACCUCAUCCACUGUGACCCUUUGUUCCGUGAACACUGUGGUCCUGCUGUCUCCCUCCCUCCCCAGCUCCUAGCCAGGAUGGCCUCCCAGCCGGUGUGGACAGUGUAUCCAGUCCCUUGACCAUUCACUCCUAAAGCCUAGCGCUUAUUAGCACCCUCUGUGAACUUCCGAACCCUGCGCCCCGGCAGUGAGUCCUAACUACUGGACUGCUGGGGAAUUCCCAGUGUGAUUGCUUAAAUUCAGAUAUCCUGCUUUCUGACCCUUCUUCCUCACUCAGUGCCCAGCACUUCCCUGACCCUGCUGACACCCUUCUUUCUCCCGCUCAGUCUCCUCUCCACUCCUCCUAUGGCCUCUCCCCCGCACGUCAGACUAUAAACUUCUCAGAGAGCUGUCAUCACUUCCUUCCUUUCCUCCUCAGCCACCUGGAGUUACAGCCCUUUGUGCUGCUAAAUCCACAUGUCCCAGCCACUGCCCUGUCUGUCCCUGCGUCCCCCUCCUUCCACCCGGAAACCCUCUUUCCUUCUCCGGUGAGCCCACCAGACAGUGCCCUGCACCCCACACGGGCUUCUCUUCUUCCGUCUGUCCACUCGAUACGGGUGUUUCUCAGGAUCCUGUCCGGGUCCCUCUCUCUACACUUCGCCCUGAGUUUUCUCACCCACUCACUGUUUGGCCUGAGGGCUCCUGUAUCAUCACCUACAACCCUGAUCUCUUCCCAGCCUGGCAGGACGUGUCCCAUGGCCCCCGGCUUCACCACGCCCACAGUUAGAGUCCUCAUCGUUCCCUCACAUACCUGCUCCACCUCCUGGUCCCCUGCUCCCUUAGGGAGGGUUCCACCACUCGGCACAGCUGGUAACUCUGUAAAUCUGUAGAACUCUAUAGAUCCUGACUCCCCACGAGGAGAAUUCAAGUCCUAUGAAUUCUCCCACUGAAAUGUCUCUGAAAUCCCCAAGCCCCUCAUUUUGCUCUCCACACCUCCUGUCUAUUCUAAUUCAGGCCAUCGUCACCUCUGGUUUCUGAUCUGAGUUUCUGAUCUGAGCUAGCCUCCCCUCAUCCCGGAGGCCUGGGGCCCAUACCCACGCAGCACCCCAAGCGUCAUCAGCCUGACUUUCUUGUCUGUGUCCCUGAUCAGACCCGAGUCCUUGAAGGUGAGGAUCGUGUUGCCCAACAAAGUGCACUUCAGAACCCUUUGGAUUUCAGCCUAGUGUUUGCUCAAUAAAUGUUUGCUGUGUGAUCUUCCCUGGUGGUCCAGUGGUUAAGAAUCCACCUGCCAAUGCAGGGGACGUGGGUUUGAUUCCUGGUCAGGGAAGUAACAUCCCAAGUACGUGCCACAACUUGAGAAGCCUGCCGUGGCGCAGCUGCUUCCACCCGAAACCCUCUUUCCUUCUCCGGUGAGCCCACCAGACAGUGCCCUGCACCCCACACGGCUUCUCUUCUUCCGUCUGUCCACUCGAUACGGGUGUUUCUCAGGAUCCUGUCCGGGUCCCUCUCUACACUUCGCCCUGAGUUUUCUCACCCACUCACUGUUUGGCCUGAGGGCUCCUGUAUCAUCACCUACAACCCUGAUCUCUUCCCAGCCUGGCAGGACGUGUCCCAUGGCCCCGGCUUCACCACGCCCACAGUUAGAGUCCUCAUCGUUCCCUCACAUACCUGCUCCACCUCCUGGUCCCCUGCUCCCUUAGGGAGGGUUCCACCACUCGGCACAGCUGGUAACUCUGUAAAUCUGUAGAACUCUAUAGAUCCUGACUCCCCACGAGGAGAAUUCAAGUCCUAUGAAUUCUCCCACUGAAAUGUCUCUGAAAUCCCCCAAGCCCCUCAUUUUUGCUCUCCACACCUCCUGUCUAUUCUAAUUCAGGCCAUCGUCACCUCUGGUUUCUGAUCUGAGUUUCUGAUCUGAGCUAGCCUCCCCUCAUCCCGGAGGCCUGGGGCCCAUACCCACGCAGCACCCCAAGCGUCAUCAGCCUGACUUUCUUGUCUGUGUCCCUGAUCAGACCCGGAGUCCUUGAAGGUGAAGAUCGUGUUGCCCAACAAAGUGCACUUCAGAACCCUUUGGAUUUCAGCCUAGUGUUUGCUCAAUAAAUGUUUGCUGUGUGAUCUUCCCUGGUGGUCCAGUGGUUAAGAAUCCACCUGCCAAUGCAGGGGACGUGGGUUUGAUUCCUGGUCAGGGAAGUAACAUCCCAAGUACGUGCCACAACUUGAGAAGCCUGCCGUGGCGCAGCUGCGCCCCACCCCGCAAAAAAAGUUUUUGCUACAUUCUGGGGAACAAGAAAAUGGAAAACUGCCUGAGGACUUACCCCAGGUUAAUUUCUCAGGUGGUUCUCCUUCCUGAUCUGUUAUUAGAUAGAGGUUGUAGAUCACUUUAGUCGUGUAUGCUGGACAGUAAAUAUAGAUUAACUUCCAAAGGGGAGGAGGAGAAACCGUGCCUGUUUCCAGUGAUGAUGAUGGAAGAAACGGUUUCCACACAGCCCUCCUUCCACACACCUUGGAAACCGAGUCUAGUUAACGUUGGUUUAGUUAUGUUCCUAUUUUCAAAAGUCAAUAGAACGUCUCUCCUCUAACUCAGUUUUUCCCCCCAUAUGAUACAUGUUGAAAACAGAGAAUUAAAAUAAUGAUGGUACUUUCUAUGCUCCAAACCAGUGUUUCUCAAGGUAUUGGUGGUGGGGGUGUGGUGUGGGGAUCCAGAGUAGCGUCUCCUGAGGUUCAGUUCAGUUCAGUUGCACAGUCGUGUCUGACUCUUUGCGACCCCAUGGACUGCAGCCUACCAGGCUCCUCUGUCCAUGGGAUUCUCCAAUGGCGACUCCACGGAGUGCCCCGAGAGGCUGAACUGCUUCCUAGGCGGCACUAGUGCUAAAGAGCCUGCCUGCC
ensembl:lncRNA